rnacentral:rRNA from 1 species
ACGGGGCCCCGCACAAGCAGCGGAGCAUGCGGCUGAAUUCGACGCAACGCGAAGAACCUUACCAAGGCUUGACAUAUACAGGAAUAUGGCAGAGAUGUCAUAGCCGCAAGGUCUGUAUACAGGUGGUGCAUGGUUGUCGUCAGCUCGUGUCGUGAGAUGUUGGGUUAAGUCCCGCAACGAGCGCAACCCUCGUUCUGUGUUGCCAGCAUUUAGUUGGGGACUCACAGGAGACUGCCGGGGUUAACUCGGAGGAAGGUGGGGAUGACGUCAAAUCAUCAUGCCCCUUAUGUCUUGGGCUGCACGCAUGCUACAAUGGCUGGUACAAACGGCUGCGAUACCGCAAGGUGGAGCGAAUCCGAUAAAGCCAGUCUCAGUUCGGAUUGGGGUCUGCAACUCGACCCCAUGAAGUCGGAGUUGCUAGUAAUCGUAGAUCAGCAACGCUACGGUGAAUACGUUCCCGGGGCUUGUACACACCGCCCGUCACAUCACGAAAGUCGGUAACACCCAAAGUCAGUGGCCCAACC